rnacentral:rRNA from 1 species
GUUCCAGACUCCUACGGGAGGCAGCAGUGGGGGAUAUUGCACAAUGGGGGGAACCCUGAUGCAGCGACGCCGCGUGGGUGAAGGAGUGCUUCGGCAUGUAAAGCCCUAUCGGCAGGGAAGAAGCAAGACGGUACCUGACUAAGAAGCCCCGGCUAACUACGUGCCAGCAGCCGCGGUAAUACGUAGGGGGCAAGCGUUAUCCGGAUUUACUGGGUGUAAAGGGAGCGUAGACGGCAGAGCAAGUCUGAAGUGAAAGCCCGCGGCCCAACGGCGGGACUGCUUUGGAAACUGCCCGGCUAGAGUGCUGGAGAGGUAAGCGGAAUUCCUAGGGUAGCGGUGAAAUGCGUAGAUAUCAGGAGGAACACCGGCGGCGAAGGCGGCCUGCUGGACCGUGACUGACGUUGAGGCUCGAGAGCGUGGGGAGCAAACAGGAUUAGAUACCCGAGUAU